UACGAAGGGUGCAAGCGUUAAUCGGAAUUAUGGUGCGUAAAGCGUGCGUAGGCGGUUCUUUAAGUCUGCUGUGAAAUCCCCGGGCUCAACCUGGGAAUGGCAGUGGAUACUGGAGAGCUAGAGUGUGAUAGAGGAUGGUGGAAUUCCCGGUGUAGCGGUGAAAUGCGUAGAGAUCGGGAGGAACAUCAGUGGCGAAGGCGGCCAUCUGGAUCAACACUGACGCUGAGGCACGAAAGCGUGGGGGAGCAAACAGG
rnacentral:rRNA from 1 species